rnacentral:rRNA from 1 species
UACGUAGGUGGCAAGCGAUACUCGGAAUCACUAGGCGUAAAGCGCAGGUAGGCGGUUUGGUAAGUCUUUUGUGAAAGCUCCCGGCUCAACUGGGAGAGGUCAAGGGAAACUACCGGACUAGAGUGUGGUAGGGGAUACUGGAAUUCCUGGGUGUAGCGGUGAAAAUGCGUAGAUAUCAGGAGGAAUACCUAUGGCGAAAGCAGGUAUCUGGGCCAUCACUGAC